AGGGCACCACCAGGAGUGGAGCCUGCGGCUUAAUUUGACUCAACACGGGGAAACUUACCCGGCCUGGACACUGGAAGGAUUGACAGAUUGAGAGCUCUUCCUUGAUUCAGUGGGUGGUGGUGCAUGGCCGUUCUUAGUUGGUGGAGCGAUUUGUCAGGUUAAUUCCGAUAACGAACGAGACUCUAGCCUAUUAAAUAGGCUCCCGGCUUUUAAACGCCGGGAGGACUUCUUAGAGGGACAGGUGGCGGUUCAGCCGCACGAAAGAGAGCAAUAACAGGUCUGUGAUGCCCUUUGUUGUCCGGGGCCGCACGCGCGCUACACUGAAGAGAUCAGCGUGCUUUAUGUUCCUGCUCCGACCGGAGUGGGGAACCCAGUGAACCUUCUUCGUGAUUGGGAUAGAAGAUUGUAAUUAUUCUUCUUGAACGAGGAAUUCCCAGUAAAUGCGAGUCAUAAGCUCGCGUUGAUUACGUCCCUGCCCUUUGUACACACCGCCCGUCGCUACUACCGAUUGAACGAUUU
rnacentral:rRNA from 1 species